rnacentral:rRNA from 1 species
ACGGGGUGCAGCAGGGGCCAAAACUUCCCAAUGGGCGAAAGCGUGACGAGGGAACCCCAAGUGGCGAUGGUCUUUUUGAUCGUCGGGUUUUCAAGAGUUCAAAAAGUUCUUGGAAUAAGAGCUGGGUAAGACUGGUGGCAGCCGCCGCGGUAACACCAGCAGCUCAAGUGGUGGUCGCGAUUAUUGGGCCUAAAGCGUCCGUAGCCGGGCCAGUAAGUCCUUUGUGAAAUCGGACGGGUCAACCGUUCGGGUUGGAGGGGGAACUACAGGGCUUGGGGGCGGGAGACGUUGAGGGUACUCCGGGGGUAGCGGUGAAAUGGUCUAAUCCCUGGGGGACCACCAGUGGGGAAGGGGCUCAACGAGAACGGACCUGACGGUGAGGGACGAAGGGUAGGGGAGCGAACCGGAUUAGAUACCCGGGUAGUCCUAGCUGUAAAGUAUGCUGGCCAGGUGUAGGGCGCUCCACGAGGGCCCCCGGUGGCGUAGGGAAGCCGUUAAGCCAGCCGCCUGGGAAGUACGGCCGCAAGGGUGAAACUUAAAGGAAUUGGCGGGGGAGCAC